rnacentral:sRNA from 1 species
GCUAGGCAUGGUGGCACAUGUCUAUAAUCCAAGUGACUUGGGAAGCUGAGGCAAGAGGAUCAUGAGUUCAAGACCAGGCUUAGCAACUUAGUGAGACUUUGUCUCAA